rnacentral:snRNA from 1 species
AGCUUUGCGCAGUGGCAGUAUCGUAACCAAUAAGGUUUAUCCGAGGCGCGAUUGUUGCUAACUGAAGUCAGGGGCCAAGGCUGCCCACCUCUCACAUCCCAGGUACUAGAGGGCCUCCCUUGGCCUCAAAGGAAGAUGGUUCUGCAGAGCCAGGAAUGGC